rnacentral:rRNA from 1 species
UACAGAGGUGCCAAGCGUUAGGCGGAAUCACUGGGCUUAAAGCGCGUGUAGGCGGGUCGUUAAGUGUCCGAGUGAAAUCCCACGGCUCAACCGUGGAACUGCCGGGCAUACUGGCGAUCUUGAGGCAUUCAGGGGCGAGCGGAACAAAUGGCGGAGCGGUGAAAUGCGUAGAUAUCAGGAGGAACACCGGUGGCGAAGGCGGGUCUCUGGGCCGUAACUGACGCUGAGGAGCGAAAGCGUGGGGAGCGAACAGG